CUUGGUGUUUCUUGGUCUCUUUAGCACCACUCCUGCCUCAGGACCUUUGCAUGAUCCCUUCGCCAGCAUCACUUCAGACAUCUCCACAGCUGACCCUCUGCUCCUCAGGGACUUGUCAUCUCACUGCUCCCUUCCAUGUCUCCGGGUGUCUUCCAAGCAGAGGCUCUGUAAGCCCACACAGCAUGUUGGGAAGGUCAGACCGACUUCCCUCUUCACAGAGGACACUGGGCCCAGCUGGCCAACCCAAUCAUUUGUCCAGCAGAUGAGGGAUUCGAGCUCCUGCUGACUCCAAAGUGUGGAGGAUGAAAUGUGACCAGCUGCCAACUCCUCUCUGCUUUGAUGGACUGCAUCACUCAAACUGUG
rnacentral:lncRNA from 1 species